rnacentral:lncRNA from 1 species
GAAUCAAAGACUACAAAGAAGACCAAAUCAAAUUGAGAUUACAAAACCCUAAUCAAAUUGGACUUGGGACUCUCCAGCUAUAAAAGGGCAGCAUCAAAGGCAUCUCAGGAUCAUCUCUUUCUGCAUCUGCCAUCUUCGGAAAUUCUCCAGCAACACAGCAGAAACUUUCCUUCUUUCUUUUCUUCUUUAUUUUUGUAUUUUAGUCACCAUGAGUGGCUAAAUUCAUUAUUUUCUAGUUUAAGUUGAGAAUAUUCAGAUUUGUGAUGAAUUGGGAGGUUUAAUACUCCAUUGUUGAACUCUUGUUUGUUUCAAUAUUUAUGCAAUCUGAUCUUUUCCAUAAUUAUUACUUUGCUUUUAGAAUCAAUAAGGGCCCAUUGCUUUUAAAUUGCUUAAGUGAUAAAUUGUUUGAAUGAUUUAGGUCCGUAAUUGCUUAAAUUGUUUGAACAUACAUACAAUCGGUUGCAUAACCUAGCCUUGACCACGCGGUUGACACGGAUAGAAUUGGGUUUCUCUAAGUCUUAAUGCGAUCAACGGUUGUUCGAUGCUAAAUGCCCCAAGGACGUUCCUUGGCAACUUGUUGAUCAGUGUUUGAUUAGCGAACGUUUCCUAAUCAAACUAGAACUAAGGAGGAAUUUGGAUUGUGAGAAGCGUCUUCCACAACCAAAACUGAUUUAUUGAAAUCAAAUAGGAGUCUUUAAUAAUCAAUGAUCAAUUCUGAACAAACUGAAUUAGGCUCACACUUCAGCUAGAAUCUCUUUCCCAUUGAUAUUCUCACUUAUUUAAAUUAUUCUUCUCUUUUGCUUUUAGCUUUUAACUCAUCAAAACAAACCCCCCCUCUUUUACUUAUUUGUUAUUACUUGCCUUAGUCAUUAUUAGGAAGAUACUUGGUGUCAAUUCCCUGUGGUUCGACCCUAUUGCCACUAUCUGCAAAUUUAUUUGUUGAUUGAUAAUAGGUUAUUUUUGACGGCUUCGACAACCGCUUAUCAGCAGGUGAUUUGGGCAAAUCACCCAGCCAAAUCACUGGCUGUCAUGGUCUGUGGGCAGAAAGUGUUGAACCAGCAGCUGCAACAUGCUUUCCAUGUGCUGCAUCCUGUCUUGAGCCUCCACCGAAUGGUCUUGAGGUGCCUUUUAUGUCCUCCAAGGUCCAC